rnacentral:rRNA from 1 species
CCUCAGACAUGCAAGUCGAACGAUUAAAGCUCCCUUCGGGGAGUGCAUAGAGUGCGCACGGGUGAGUAACACAUAAGUAAUCUACCCUCGAGUGGGGAAUAACAUCGGGAAACUGGUGCUAAUACCGGAUACGCCCUUCGGGGGAAAGAUUUAUUGCCGAUAGAUGGGCCCGCGUUGGAUUAGCUAGUUGGUGAGGUAACGGCUCACCAAGGCAACGAUCCAUAGCUGGUCUGAGAGGAUGAUCAGCAUCACUGGGACUGAGACACGGCCCAGACUCCUACGGGAGGCAGCAGUGGGGAAUAUUGGACAAUGGGGGCAACCCUGAUCCAGCCAUGCCGCGUGAAUGAUGAAGGCCUUCGGGUUGUAAAGUUCUUUUGGUGGGGACGAUGAUGACGGUACCCACAGAAUAAGCUCCGGCUAACUUCGUGCCAGCAGCCGCGGUAAUACGAAGGGAGCUAGCGUUGUUCGGAUUUACUGGGCGUAAAGGGCGCGUAGGCGGUUUGGCAAGUUGGAUGUGAAAGCCCUGGGCUCAACCCGGGAAUUGCAUUCAAAACUGCCUUACUUGAAUUCGGUAGAGGUUGGUAGAAUUCCCAGUGUAGAGGUGAAAUUCGUAGAGAUUGGGAAGAAUACCCGUGGCGAAGGCGGCCAACUGGACCGACAUUGACGCUGAGGCGCGAAAGCGUGGGUAGCAAACAGGAUUAGAUACCCUGGUAGUCCACGCCGUAAACGAUGCAUGCUAGACGUUAAAGCCGUCAGGUUUUAGUGUCGCAGCUAACGCACUAAGCAUGCCGCCUGGGGAGUACGGCCGCAAGGUUGAAACUCAAAUGAAUUGAC